rnacentral:snRNA from 1 species
GGAUCUGAGGGCCAUCUGGCUGUGACAUCUGUCACCCCACUGAUCGCCAGGGCCGAUUUGGCUGGCUAGGCGAGUGUCUCCUUCCUCUUCACCACUCCAUGUGCAUUCUGCCAGAAGCUGUGAGCUGGAGAGGACAGGCACCAGGAUGUGGCCGCCCCCCACAGAGAAGGACCUUCUCCUUGGUCAAGAGUGUAGCUGCACUCCCCUGCUAGAACCUCCAAACAAGCUCUCAAGAUGCACCAUCUCCUCUGCUCAAAUGUCAGAGCAGAGAUGCUUUCUUUGACCACUCAAAACGAGCACCAUU